GGAUGUUGAUGUAGCAGGAAACAUAUCGGACUCAUAAUCCGAAGUCAUAGGUUCGAUCCCUAUACAUCCUCCA
rnacentral:tRNA from 1 species